rnacentral:misc_RNA from 1 species
UCUGCAUCAUCCUCUUGAUUGACCCAAAUAAAUUGCACUUUAUGCUGUAAUGUGCUACCAUCUUUAACUAGCCCCAAAAUAACAGGCAAGUAAUCUUCGAGAGCCUGCAAUAGAUCAGCAAGGGUUGAACCUCCAUGCUGAGUAGCAGUUUUCCUUCUUGUCCUUGUAAUUGUGGGAGCUUCUUGCCCUGCCAUAACCACUAUUCUGGUCCUGAGAGCGGAAAGGCGCUCCACCAGGGUUUUCGACAAUUGAUCACCAAGUGCAAGAGAGAAAUCAACCGGCUUAGGGAUACGUAAUCCAGGAACAAAUACAGACACCUCACCAAUGUUUCCUGGCCGCCUUCUAUUCCCACCAGUAUCCUGCGGCGUCGAAAGAAAGCAUCCCAUAUCCUAAAAUUUUCUCGUAUCUGCCAGAGCACCUGGUUUUACAAUCAGCAGAUUAGGCAAUAGGUCAAUUUCUGUGGUAAUUUCUGGUUUGAAACAGAGGACCCAAAAAUUUCCAUAAACAACAAGAAGAUGGGGUUCGUAUUUUCAGGGAAUCGAUUCAAAAUGAAGCAUAAACCCUACUAUAGACGCUCUUUAGCUUAAUUGAGCAAAACCCAAAUCCUCUGUGAAAAGGCAAAUACAAAAGAAAUCAACUCAACCUCAACUUGGUUGUAGAAUCAGCUAACAAAUUUCAAUCUUGG